CCCGCAUUUUUCACGUGCGUCCCCACUCGAUCGGCGAGACUCGCUUUUUAUUUGUGAAAAAUUGAUUUUUUGAAAAAAAGUUGGAGUCGCCACCUAUUUUAUUUUUAUUUUAAAGGGAAAAUAAAACAAGAAAGAAAAACCCUAAAAAGUGACUCCAUAAUUUUUGGAAAAAGCAUGUCUUUGAGAAACCCGAGUUUAGGUCCGGGGAUCAGGUUACUUAUUGGGAAGGUACCUCUAGGAGAUAGCACCCCUCUAAGCCCUAAAGAGGUCUCUACUGACUAAGUUAAGGGAAGCGUGACAAUUAAAUGGUUGAUCAUGGAUACCUAAGUAGGCUAGGUGAUUCCAAAAACAUAACAUAUCAAACAAGAUCAGAUCACAAUUAAGAAGAGUUAAAAAUGCGUACCUGGAUGGCUUCCCAAGUGCUAUCAUAAAACAUAAGAGAUUAGUUUGGAGAUACAUCACACAACAUUUGUUUUAUUGAAGCAAAUCAGGCAUAUAUCAAGACAUUCAAGAAUCACGUCAAAUAUGGAUAUGGUCAUCAAUGACAUACAAGUCCAUAGAGUUCUAAAAAAAAUAGAUGAGAAGAGAGCGUACCUGGAUAGCAAGCUAGUACUCCUCUAUGGGAAACGAGAGCAUCUCAACAAUAAAUAUUAAGUGAAUUCAAGUAUUUCAUCAAGAAGAAUCAAAAAUCAACAUAUCAAGUAAACAGUAUUAAAGUGAGUGUUAUGAAUGUCGGGCCCCCACCAAAGCCCUAGUUGAUUUUGCAUGAGUCGAUUCAAUGAAUUCCAUUGUUUGGAAUCAUGAAGUUUGUUCAUGCUUGUUGAAAAUCGAGAAAAUCAAGAAAAUAGUUGAAAAUUAAAGAAAAUAGUGAAAAUGCAUGUCAAAAGGAAAAUGACAGCAAAUUUACUAAAAUCUGGGUUUUAUUAUCUAGAAGGGAUUUAAAGAUGGAUUUUUCAAAGCUGGAAAUGUUUAGUUGAAAAAGGAUUUGAAAAUUCAAUUUAAAACAAUGAAUUCCCAAUCAAAGAAGCAAACAGAGGAGGAGGUGUGCACCGAGGUGACCACACGGAGAAGAGCCUGCGAGUGCACUUGAGACUGGAAUUGCAUUGCUGAUGCUGGAUCCUUAACUACGCUUUGCUCUCUUUGGUGCCCAAAUCAAAAUUUCAAGUCUUUUUCCAAGCAUUUUAGUCUGACAAGUUUUUCUGUGCAUGAGGAAAUUGUUGCUGCAAUUGAAGUUGAUGAAAGGCUGAGGAGACUGCCCAAAGAGCUCUGCUACUGCAGAAUCCUGGAGUUUGAUAACCACUCUGCAAUCUAGAGGCGCAUUGGAAAUCCGAAUUCUGGUUGUUAACACAGUACAAUGAUUGACCAAGGUGUACCAUAGGCAUGAUAUGCAAGAUUCACAGGGGCGGCCUUAUUGAGAGCUUUGGAAUUUUUACAGUCUUUAUAUUUCAGCUUCAGAAAAUUAUCUAUAACAGACAAUGCUUCAAUACACUGGAAAGAGUUCAAGACAGAUCUGCAUGUGCACCCCUGAGUGGCUCAAAGAUGACCCCAUCACAACUCGAAGCCUGUAGAAUUCUCCUGCAGCAUCUCUGCUUCUCAGCUGCAAUGAGAGGAGAUAUUGUCCCGGACGGACACUUCCAGCCUCAGAACUGCAAUUUCCUAGAUCAGAUUCUCAGCAGGCUCGGGCACUAAUCUUGCAUUUUUGGUAUCAUUUUCAUAAUUAUGAUCCGUGAAAGACCUGACAGUAUUCAGCUCAUUCUCUGUAGCCUCGGUAGUCGACCCAUCACCCUCACCACUGACAGUUAUUGGAAGAGUUAGAAAUUCAAUGAGAGGAAUGUUUUGAGACUGAGCUAUUGGGAACAGUUUCAUGAAUUCCAGACUGUCCCUUAUUGACUGUGACAGAAUGAAAUGCUGCAGAACUCGGUUUGGCAACUCCAAGGUAAACCUCAUCAGAAGCAUCCCACUUUCUGGUCCAUUACUGAUCUGGACUGCCCCUUUAGCCACCGUUUCUCUUUCACCCCUCUUCUUAUCCUUGAGUCAAGUCUAUUUUUUGGUAAUUCAUGGGAAGUUCAUCUUCGUCAGGCCUUUUCAGAUCUUUGCGCUGAACUAUGAAGCAUAAGUGAGAAAUCCACCACAAUGUCCUUUUAUGAUGCAGAUCUGGAAUCACGUGGAGGCCUAAGGUAGUGUCUAAAGCAAGUGCCGUAGGUGGGAAACAACACAGUUUGCAAAGUUGGGUAUUUUCUGUACUUCUAGCAUUUUAAAUCUGGAAGAUCAGAAUUCUUAAUUCCACACCCAGCAGUUUUCCGAGAUGAAGUAGCAGGCAAAUGACCUUACUGAAAUGUGUGGAAGUGCUAUUCCAGCAGUUGGUUUAGACUCUUCUGUGGUUUCUGGUAUUUUAGAGGCCACUAAAUUUUGUUCACACAAAAAAAAAAAAAAAAAUUCAUCAUUAGAUGCGUCGAUCAAUCUUUCAUCACAAUUUGCCCCACUCAGAAUCUAGGAUUGAAGCAUCUACUGGAUUAUUCUGAACUGUGUCUUUGCUGGAGAAUGAACAAGACUGAUUCUUAAUUUCACCUCAAAUAACUAGAAAUUCUGAACCUUUAAAAUUUGGAUGGCAAGUUGACUCUGAAGGGAUCUAAUUUUCUAACCAGAUUAUAGAGUCUUCAAAUUGUGGUUUUUGCUUUAAGAAGCAAGUGAAACGGAUUCACCACAGGAUGCAAGUCUUUGACCCAGCUUUAGUGCAGAAUUACUGGAACCAGCCAUUGUCAAACUUCAGAGAAACAAGCUCUGCUUUGAGUUGAUUCAACUCCUUCUAUUUCCCCAUGUUCCAAAGCUUGCUGCCCAUUAAGAUUAUCAUCACCUGCAUGAUCUGGGGAACUACCACUAGUUUCAGCGAGAUUGGUCUUAGUUCUUCCUUUAGAAUAGCCAUACAAGUUCAUGAUAACCUCCUGCCUGAGAUGCUCUUUCUGCAGUUUCACCUUAAGCUCCGACCCAGUAUUUGAUUCAAUUUCUAAAGAAAAAGCAGAAUAACUCAUUCUUCUUUAUUUGCACCUGGAUUCUGACUGAUUCUCUUAGAACACUUCUGAAUUCAUCUUACCAAAUGAAGAAUUUUGUAAAGAAGUUGUAACAGGACCUCCAGAAUUGAUACCAGAGCUGUCGUUAAUCCAUAAACCCAUCCAUGGUUUUAGAGAUGAUCUCUUUUUUUACGUACAAGGCUGUUAGUCUGAUCCAGGUUUUUUACAAGUUGCAUUGCUGAAGGUAGAGUUAAGAAAAUCCCCAACUGUAGCAUCUGUAUGGAAUGCAAGCUGCUCAGUCAACACCCCCAUGUACAUCACUGCACCAAGUCUUAAAAGAGUUGAGGACCUCAGCAGUCCGGUCUACUAAAUCAUCAAUAGGAAGUGCGGCCUCAUAAAAGCUUCUAUGGAUUUCAGUGUCUGCUUUACUGCCCUUUUUGAAGUGGUUGUUUGAAGGUUCUUGAGAUGGAGUUUCUAGUGCAAUCCUGCCAUUAGAAAUAGCCUCUUUGAGUUUCAAUUAUUUGCAUGGGGUUUUUGCCAGGUAAAUUCAAUGGUUUAUCAUAAUCAAUCAUCUCUUUCAGUGUUGAACAGAAUCAGAUUGAAGGACAGAUUCCAUCUUGGCCUGGCAGGUGGCUCUUUGCUUGGUCUAUUCUCUUGGCAUUACCGUCUGCUGCUUCUGAACUUGACUUCUAAACCCACACUUAUUUCUCGUGAGUUUCUAGACACGCUGAAUAAUCUUCAUAACCUCAUCCCAUCUGUCUACUUUGUUCAAUAAAGUAAUGAAGAAGCACCAAGGUGGUCAUACAUGUGAAGAAGAGAACCAACAGCAAGGUAAUCUUGAAUUUGACCAGAAGAGGGAUAGCCAUAGGGUUGUCCACAUGAAGGUUCAGAAGGAUGGCUAACUUGUGGAGGAAUUGGCUGUCUACAUGUGGCAUCUGCUGAGUGGGAGGUACUCUCAUUGCUGGUUGAGCAAGGGUGCCCUUGGUCCAAAAGAUUCAAGAGAUACUGAAAUAGGCCUUAUAUCAUCAUCAUAUGUAAUUUUCCUAUCAGAUCAGCUUUCAAGGGAAACAUAAGUAUAUCAGCUUUAUCCUGUGAAGGCCUUAGCAACUGCAUACAAAAAAAAAGCAUCAAAUAUUUCCCCUCUAAAACCA